CCAAUAGCGUAUAUUAAAGUUGUUGCAGUUAAAAAGCUCGUAGUUGAAUUUCGAGAUCAAUUUGUGGGUCGUGCCUCGGUACGUACUGGCAUUAUUGAUUUCUCCCUUCUGAAGAACCGCGAUGUCAUUAAUUUGGUGUCGUGGGGAAUCAGGACUGUUACUUUGAAAAAAUUAGAGUGUUUAAAGCAGGCACACGCUUGAAUACAUUAGCAUGGAAUAAUGAAAUAGGACGUUUGAUUCUAUUUUGUUGGUUUCUAGGAUAGACGUAAUGAUUAAUAGGGAUAGUUGGGGGCAUUAGUAUUCAAUUGUCAGAGGUGAAAUUCUUGGAUUUAUUGAAGACUAACUACUGCGAAAGCAUUUGCCAAGGAUGUUUUCAUUAAUCAAGAACGAAAGUUAGGGGAUCGAAGACGAUCAGAUACCGUCGUAGUCUUAACCAUAAACUAUGCCGACUAGGGAUCGGAUGAUGUUAAUUUUUUAAUGACUCAUUCGGCGCCUUACG
rnacentral:misc_RNA from 1 species